GCAAGUCGAACGAGACUUUCUUUGGUGGUAACACCUUUGUCUGUCUAGUGGCGAACGGGUGAGUAACACGUGAGAAACCUGCCCUGAAGACGGGGAUAACAGAAGGAAACUUCUGCUAAUACCCGAUACCCCCACCGGAUCGCAUGGUCUGGUGAGGAAAUGGAUUCCGCUUCAGGAGGGUCUCGCGGCCUAUCAGCUUGUUGGUGAGGUAACGGCUUACCAAGGCUUGGACGGGUAGCUGGUCUGAGAGGACGAUCAGCCACACUGGGACUGAGACACGGCCCAGACUCCUACGGGAGGCAGCAGUAAGGAAUAUUGCGCAAUGGGCGAAAGCCUGACGCAGCAACGCCGCGUGCGGGAUGAAGGCCCUCGGGUUGUAAACCGCUUUCAGUAGGGAAGAAAAUGACGGUACCUACAGAAGAAGCCCCGGCCAACUACGUGCCAGCAGCCGCGGUAACACGUAGGGGGCGAGCGUUGUCCGGAUUUAUUGGGCGUAAAGAGCUCGUAGGCGGUUUCGUAAGUCGGAUGUGAAAACUCCAGGCUCAACUUGGAGACGCCAUUCGAUACUGCGAUGACUUGAGUCCGGUAGGGGAGUGUGGAAUUCCUGGUGUAGCGGUGAAAUGCGCAGAUAUCAGGAGGAACACCGGCGGCGAAGGCGGCACUCUGGGCCGGUACUGACGCUGAGGAGCGAAAGCGUGGGUAGCAAACAGGAUUAGAUACCCUGGUAGUCCACGCCGUAAACGGUGGGCACUAGGUGUGGGAUUCACUCAACGGAUUCCGUGCCGCAGCUAACGCAUUAAGUGCCCCGCCUGGGGAGUACGGCCGCAAGGCUAAAACUCAAAGAAAUUGACGGGGGCCCGCACAAGCGGUGAAGCAUGUGGUUUAAUUCGAAGCAACGCG
rnacentral:rRNA from 1 species